rnacentral:sRNA from 1 species
UUUACAAUCCAAGAAAUAUUGACACUUUUAAUGUAUAUAGCAAUGCAUUUAAAUUAAUAAAUGCCAAUAAUACAGAUAAUAUUACGUAUUUUUAUUUAAAUGGUG